AUUUAUAAACCUUUCCUCUAGAAUGUAAACACUGUCGGUAAAACUUGUUACUUUAUAUCUUAUUGUUUGUUAAGUCUAUACAGUUCACUCACGCAUUGAAAAUUGCUACAUAUAAAGAUAAUCAAGACUCACUUUAUGAAGAGCUAAAAUAAUCAACAUCAUACAAGAAGCCAAAAGACCAAAGUAUGUAAUAAAAAAAGAAAGAUAAACAGAAAAGAAGAAAGAAGAGAGCCGAGGAACAUAGACUAAUCCUCAUCUACAACCUUAUAAUAGAAAGGAAAGAGAAUAAGGUG